GACGAACGCUGGCGGCGUGCUUAACACAUGCAAGUCGAACGGAAAGGCCCUGCUUUUGUGGGGUGCUCGAGUGGCGAACGGGUGAGUAACACGUGAGUAACCUGCCCUUGACUUUGGGAUAACUUCAGGAAACUGGGGCUAAUACCGGAUAGGAGCUCCUGCUGCAUGGUGGGGGUUGGAAAGUUUCGGCGGUUGGGGAUGGACUCGCGGCUUAUCAGCUUGUUGGUGGGGUAGUGGCUUACCAAGGCUUUGACGGGUAGCCGGCCUGAGAGGGUGACCGGCCACAUGGGGACGGGGUGCCGGCCCAGACCCCACGGGGGGGAAGAGGGGGGGAAUAUGGCAAAAGGGGCGGAACCCGAAGGAGGCAACCCCGGGUGCGGGAUGCGGGCCUUCGGGUGGAAAACCGCUUUCGCCUGUGACGAAGCGUGAGUGACGGUAAUGGGAAAAGAAGCCCCGGCAAACUACGU
rnacentral:rRNA from 1 species